UGUUGAACUAUGCUCUUGGUGUCUAGGAAGGUAAAAGUAACCAAAAGCAUUUUUUCUUUUGUCGCGUGAGAACAAGCUAAUGGUUUAAAAACUUAUCUCUAUUUUUCGAUAUAUGCAUAUAGCGAUGUUCACUUAGGUAGCUAUAGAGUAAUCACUUAGUUACACUUUGGCAUAGUACUGGUUGAAGUAGGGAGUUACAGGAAACCAUUGCUUGACACUGAUCCCCCUUUCCUCUACUUCCUAAAAAAAAUACAUUUCAGUUUAGGGAAUGGCAGGCUCUAAUUGUAUAUCCAUAGAUGACUCAAACAUGCCGUUAAGAUAUGCAUCAUAUACAUAUUCCGUGUAUUGUUAUGGUUAUAGCUAUCGCAUUAUUUAUAGGAUUUUUUCCCCUUGGUGGUCAGUGUAGGUUGUACUGUUCUUUUAAAUGUGCUUUGGAUAAUUUAUCUUUUAAUAUGUUUGUUUCAGCUACUUUUUAAUUACUAUUGUAAAAUGUGCUUUAUAGGUAUGAUGGAAUUUCAUGCUUAUAGCUUCGUUUAUUGCAUGCACUAUGUAAAAUACAGCAUAUGAAAUAACCUUUCUGCAUGGAUAAUCUAGCAAAAUUGUCAAAGAGUAAAAGAGAGAACCCAUUGUUGAAGUUUAUUUCGCACGGUAGUGGAUUUUCUAUAACAGAACAUGCUUUUGAUACCAUAAGCAUAUGUUUUCUGGUUUUGUAAUACCUCUUUGGUCCUCUCAUUGUUAUCAUUUUCCAUCCUAUCUCUAGCCCUAUUGUUGUUUGUCAUGGGAGGCUGUUAAAGGUAGACCCUUCAAAGUCUGAGCUGAAUACUGAGUUGAAUAACCUUUAAAUGCUAGGUUUUUAAAAAGUUGACACUCCUUUACCCUAAGGGGUAACUAAUUAUGCAAGACAUUUCAGAUCCUAUAGUCGUUGGUGUGUUAUUCCUGCAGAAUUAGCUAGAUCACCAAUAUGUCCGUUUGAUUACAAUUUUGAAAUCAACUUUGGCAAACAAACUUAACACGGGGCCAACCGUCCGAGCUCGCUCCACAAGCCUCAGUUUUUGGUAAGCAGCUACGUUAUACCCUACCAUAUGAAAAGGUGAUGCUAUCAUCCUAAACAGGCCUACCGGCCAAGCAUGCUCCACGAGCCUGUAUUUUGGGUUGGCAGCUGCGAUAUAACCUACCAGAUGAGAAGGUUAGGCUAUCUUCUUAUCAAAUUGUGGACCGGAUACCUUGGUGCUUGCCUAAAGCCGAUUAAAGGCACAACCAGUGAAGGUUGGUUUGGGAGGGCAAUUUUCCCACAUCUGUGAAAGUUCCCUGGCCAACGGGCAAGGUUUGGCAUCUGCUUUCACCCUGAUGGGCACAGGAUAAUCACGGUCGGCUAAUACAUGCGAUCUCAUGAAUUUCCCAACAGCUACCAGUUUGUGGGCACGAUCCACAGCAAGAACAUGGAGAUUGGCAAAGUCUUCCACCCCGUCUUGCCUUUGCACUUGGGAAACUGAAGCAAGACAUUGAUGCGUAGCACCAUCACACAUACUUUUGUCUAGAAGAAGUAUCCAUGUAUGAGCAGCACAUGCUAUGAGUUUAUUUCGAUGGCGCGUGGCUCUAGCAUUGCAGCCUCAUGGUGAUUGCAAUAUUAUGCUCAUACAUUAUGAACUUUAUUAGCUAAAUGGUUAACAUGUGAAUUUCA